UUGUUAGAUCAAAAUCUGUUAACUUUUGUUCAAAUGAUGAUGUAUUUUCUAAAUUGAAUACUGAUCUUGUCUUUUUUGGAAAAUUUAUUGGAAAACUAUUCAAAAUCUUUUAAAAAGGGAAUUCCUUCAUCUACUGUCAGUACAGGUGAAAUGAAGAUUAAAUUAGUAGACAAUAGAAAAAUUGUUCAAAGAAGACCAUACAGGCUUAGUCCAAAUGAAAGAGAAUUGGUACGCGACAAGAUUAAAGAGCUUUUGGAAUGCAAUGUCAUAAGGCCAAGCUGCUCUCCCUUUGCAAGUCCUAUGAUUUUCAGAUAGAUAUCCUUUACCCCUUAUAGCAGAUCAGAUAGCCAGACUUCAUGGUGCUAAAUAUUUCACUUGUUUGGAUAUGGCAAGUGGAUAUUACCAAAUCCCAUUGCAUGAAGAAUCAAUAGAGUGUACGGCUUUUGUCACCCCAGAUGGCCAGUACGAGUUUUUGUCAAUGCCGUUUGGUCUGAAAAAUGCACCUUCAGUUUUUCAGCGUACAGUGAUGCAUACACUUGGAGAACUGGCAAAUACUUUUGUGGUUGUCUAUAUGGAUGACGUGUUAGUGGUGGCUGCAACGAAAAGUGAGGCUUUGGAAAGACUACAGGUUACUCUUGAUGUUCUCACGAAAGCUGGUUUCUUGUUCAAUAUUAAAAAGUGUUCGUUUCUGAAGUCAACUGUUCAAUAUUUGGGAUAUGAAUCGGUUUCUGCUUUAAGACAAUUUAUUGGACUUGCGUCUUACUUUCGGCAAUUUAUACAGGGAUUUUCUUGUUUCUUGAAGCCUUUGUAUUUGUUGACAUCGGAAAAGAACGAGUUUAUUUGGAAGCCAGAACAUGAAGAAAUAAGACAAAAAGUUAUAUCUGUUUGGUUAUUUUUGACCCGCAAUAUCCAAUCGAGUUGCAUACUGAUGCAAGUGCUCGUGGAUACGGUGCCAUCUUGUUGCAUAGAAUAGAUAACAAGCCCAAUGUCGUUGAGUUCUUCAGUAAGGCUGCCUCACCUGCCGAGUCAAGAUACCAUUCUUACGAAUUGGAGACACUCGCGGUUGUCAUGGCCAUUAAGCAUUUUCGUCAUUAUUUGACAGGCAGAGAUUUUGUUGUCUUUACCGAUUGCAAUUCGCUUAAAGCAUCAAGAAAUAAACGUGACCUAUCGCCCAGAGCACAAAGAUGGUGGGCUUAUUUACAGUCGUUCUCAUUUGAAUUACAGUAUAGAGAGGGUAAACG